GCCCCCGCCUCCCCAGUAGUGCUCGCAAGAUGGCAGAGUCGUGAGUGUGAGGCCGAAGGGAGAGGAUUUUUAUCCCUUUUUAUCCGGCUUUUCGUCCUUUUAUUUACAGGACCUCCUGAGGGAUGCAAGCAAGGAGAUCCCCCUGAAAGCACGAGAGACCCUGACGUGUGGAGCUGGAGCUUCUUUGAGGGUGUAGCGAGCCAGCAGAGAACCCCAGUUUUGAAAUUCCACCGCAAAGAGAAAUGAAAAAAGUCCUCUCGACGACCUCCUCCACUCUGGAUAUGUGAUAGCAUUGUGUGCGACUGAAAGUGAUAAUCGGGCUCAAAUUUGCUUGUUGUUUGCUAGUUUUGUUAUUCCAAAAGUAAAUAUUAUUAGUAUUUCUAAUUUACCGACGAAUCAAAAGUGAAUAUAAAAGAAAGGGAAAUCAUCAUACAGUCGUACUAGCUAUGACUACAUGCCACCCCCCGAGUCAUCAGACGUGGCUGCACUACUCGGCAGGACAGACCUAGUGAAUCGUUGCUAGGCCCCAGGGACAAGUUCUCGAUUGGCCUGUGGCUUAGGUUUGAUGGUGAACAUUGUUGGUGUCCGUACGUUGGUCCCCCCCACCGUGGGCGGCCCCCCCAUAACCGAGACCAAGAUGACGGCACGGGCCAUUCUGCAGUGUCGACCCAAUUCGCACCCCUUCCCACAGGACGUGGAGGAUGGGGAAAGGGAUGCAUUGUACGCCAUGCAAGAGAGAACGUUAGUCCUCGAUCAACCGGUGAAGAUUGGACGAUCGGUGGCCCGCAACCGGCCUGCAACCAACAAUGCCAUCUUCGACUGCAAGGUGCUCUCCAGGAACCAUGCCGUGCUCUGGUAUGAGAAUGGGAAGUUCUACCUGCAAGACACAAAGAGCAGCAAUGGCACAUUUGUCAACAACCAGAGGCUUAGCAAAGGUUCUGAGGAGUCUGCCCCAAGAGAGGUCUGCUCGGGGGAUAUUGUACAGUUCGGUGUUGACGUUAUGGAGAACUCGAGGAAGGUGACACAUGGAUGUAUAGUUGCAACCCUGAAACUAUAUAUGCCUGAUGGUCAGGAGGCUAAGGCCAGUCCUUCAACGGCUGUAGGUGGAGCAGUCACCAGUGUCUCAGCACAGGAACUGUACCAAUUACGAACGUAUCUCCAAGAAGCAACUCACCGAGAACAACAGAUUGAGACAAAAUUGGCUACCUUGCAACGAUUGGUGUCUUCUACUCAGGAAGCUGCUACACAGAGCUGGAAUGCCAUGAUUGAUGAAGAUCGGUUACUGCAACGACUAGAAACCUUAGAAGCUCAACUUACCACAUACUCCAAGAAUUACCCUGAAGAUAGUGUUAGGGAAGAAAUGCGACGAUUACUGGACGAGAAGGACCAGUAUGAGACAACUGCCAAAGAAUCAUUACGACGGGUUUUGCAGGAGAAGUUGGACGCAGUCACCAAGUUGGCAGACUUAGAAAGGACAUUAAGUACAUCUGAGGACGAAUUGAGUCACAUGAAAGACCUAUGUGAGACAACACAAAAGGAGCUUCAGGAGCUGUUGGAGAAGCAGACGACCCAAAACGAACAGAUUGCCCAGCUUACCGAAAAACUAAAGGCAGCUGAAGAUCAGUUGAAGGAUGUGGAGGAGAAUUUUGAACAAGAGAAGAAGGAAUUGGAAAACAAAUUGCUAGAAAAGAAUAACGAUGAAAACAAAUUAUUAGCUAGAAUAGAAAGUUUAACAGCGGAAAGUGACUUUACGAAAGAGCAAUUAAGUGCCAUGAAAGCUAAAUAUGAGAAUAUUAAGAAUGGUGAAAUAAGUGGACUUAUUAAGCCUGUAAAGGAUUCCUCAGGUCUAGACAAUAUAAGCAUUGAGUCAGCUGACGUGAAGCAAGCUCUCGAGACUUCCCAGAGGGAGAUCUUCACCCUCAAGGACCGACUCCAAAUUGCUCAGGACGAACUCAGGCAAACGGAAGCAAACGUAUCGCAGCUCAAACAUGAGGCAGAGCUGGCGGACAGUGCAGAGGUUGGAUGCUUGAGCACGCGUGCUCGCCUCCAGGAGGAGCUCUCGGAAAACAAGGCAAAAAGCGCAGCAAGCACAGCCCUGACUGAACACCUCCAGUCUCAGAUUGUUGCCCUGGAAGAUCGCUUGCGGAUGUACGAGGGAGAGUCACACAAAGUCAAGAUUUACGAUGAUAUCUACGAAGAUACGUUAGUGAGGAAAAAGAAGAAUAAAAACAAAUUGAAUGAAGAUGAUGGAGAGGACACCAAAGACAAGGAGUCCAACGACAUUGGUGAGAUUACGCAGGAUGCUGACACCACCCUCACCAUCAUCCCUACUAAGGAAUCUUGCAAGGAAUCAAAUGUGAAUGGCACAGUUGAGGAGGAAGAAGAGAAAGAAGAGGAAGGCAAGGAAGGAAUCAUCCAAGAAUCACUACUGCGCUCGGACAUCCUCAGACUUCAAGCACUUCUUGAUGCAAGUCGAGUCACACAAGAAGCAAGUGACAAAGAAGCGGCUCGCAUCAGAGAGGAAUUAGCCCAGGCCUCAACUGCAGCCAUAACUGCAUCCCAUGAGGCAUCCAACCUUCGACAACAGUUGGCAGCAAGUGAGGCUUUGAUGAGUGAGAAAGUGAAGAUGGUAGCAUCACUACAGAACCAAGUAAGUCGGAUGGAGGAUUCAGCUAAGGAGGUUCAGGCUCACCUCUCUACUCUCACAGCAAAGCUAAAAGAAGAACAGGAUAAAGUUCAGGCUGCCCAGGAAGAAGCCCACCUUCUUCGAAAAAAAUUGAACAAAGCUGAAGAGCUAGCCAGUCUUACCGUCCAGGAGGCAGAGUCGCUGAAGGUUCGGAUAAUUGGGCUGGAGGAGAGGAUGAGCCAGUCCACUCCAACCACCCCCCUCAUCAUCCCCCCUUCUCCGCGGGCGCCUGGCCUCCCGAGCGACGUAUCACGAGCCGAAACGCUGACGGAAAGCGACGGCCAACAGGGCUCCACCGAGGAGCCGGCCGAAGCCACCGAGGUAUUGGAGCGGAGCGACAUCCCGAACGGCCAUCCCAGCCAGGCCGCUCCCAUCGUUGGGACAGAGACAAAAGAACAGGAAAUAAACACAUUAAAAGACAUGGUUAAGAAACUGCAGGAGGAGCUCUCCCAGACGCAGCAACAGUGCACCACGUUGCAGGAGCGAGAGAGGGCGCUGCAACAGGCACUGGAGGGAGAGACUGGGAAGAGUGCAGAUGACUCCAGACCUAACCGUGUGGAUGGAGUCGUCACACCUACCCUGAAUGAUGGACCACUAAUAGCUGAGAAACUGGAGAGCCUCCGGGAGGAGUUAGAAUCCCUAAAGGAGGAACGUGAUCAUUUGAGAGACAAGCUGGGGGGGGUGGAUGAGGAUUACCAACUCCUCGCUCUGCAAAAUAAAACGACGAUCCCAACCUGGGUCAUGGUAGUUAUGGUGAUGGCUCUGGCUCUCGGAUCUGAAUUAAUUCCCAACAUUAUAUAAUAAACUUGUAUAAAUGUAUGCAUAUAUAAAGAAGAAAAAGAAUGUGUAUAUAUAUAUAUAUGACAAUAAGGAAAAAAAAAAAGUUAAAAAAGAUAUGCCCAGUAUCCUUGUAAUAUUAUUGCAGAUAUUAUUUGCAUUGAGUCAUGUUAUAGAUUAUUUAGUAAUGUUGAUGUAAAGAUAUGGGAUAAUCAAUUGUUGAUAUGUUGCACAAUGUACGUGCCAAUUUUUCUUCUGAUAUCUCAAAUUAUGUAUAGUAAAAACUUUGUAUUUAGAUUGUACAGCUCCUGAAUAUGUUGAUAGACUAUAGGCCUAGUAUACAUUUGAUUGUUAUAUAUUAUUGCAUAAUGACCCUAUAUUGCAUCUAUGCAAUGUAAAUAUGUAAAUACAUUUUAGUUAAUAAGUAAGAAUGCAUAAAGGAAAAAAAAAAAAGAGAAAAAAAGACUAGUCUAAAGAGACAAUAUCCAAGUUUGACGUAAAGAAAGACUCCCAUCACGAGACAAAAAGAACGUUAAGUAUGAGCCAGUCCCAGAAGCCCUGUGAUAUUAGCCAUUGUAAAGCCCUGCAGAAAGGUCUUAGAAGGCUGCUGCUGCCUCGGCCCCACCACAAAGCAGACCAAAAGGCUGUGGCGCUAUCCAUGGUGCCGUUGUGCAUCUUGAUCUUGGGCUUCAUCACUGCGUUCUAUGACACCCUCUCUGCCUUGACCGGCACGACAGAGUUCAACCCGCCCUCUUAAAGACACUCUUGCAGUCUAUCGAGCACCGUUCUUUGGUUUGUUAUGGACGCUAUGCCAGAACUAUUGAUAGAACCUGUUACGUUAUUGUCCCUGAUGAUGUAUCCCAUAGCCAUUAAAAAAUAAUAAUAAUAAUAAUAAUAAUAAUAAAAACUUCACCCUCUCACUCAAUCAUGGUCACCAUCUAAACCAUUAGUAACUGCCACAUGGGAUACCGACACCUGUAAUAAACCAGUGAAGAAAAUGUGUAUCCUGAAGGCAUGACUGUUUGUGCAUCCUAAAGGCAAAGUUCUGCUGGAUCUGCUUCCUCAGGGAACUGAGAGUCAAGAGUUUAAUGUUUAAAAUCAUGUGCUAUUGAACGAUUGUACAGCUCAGAUGAUGUACAAUUCCUCUCCCCCCUUCCCCCCCCAUUAAGAAUCUUUCCCCAAGUAAUCAGAGGUUUUCCUUACAUUUACUCCUCCCCAAAACUAGCGAGAUUUCAAGAUGAAUGGAUAAAUUGAAAGAUUGUGGCCACUUUUACCAGUGACAGGAUGAA